rnacentral:rRNA from 1 species
CCUCGCAUGAAGUCGGAAUUGCUAGUAAUCGCAGAUCAGCAUGCUGCGGUGAAUACGUUCCCGGGCCUUGUACACACCGCCCGUCACACCAUGGGAGUCGGUAAUGCCCGAAGUCUGUGACCCAACCGCGAGGAGGGAGCAGCCGAAGGCAGGUCGGAUGACUGGGGUGAAGUCGUAACAAGGUAGC